rnacentral:rRNA from 1 species
GUAGAACGGGCCAACGAGUUACGUUAAGUAGCAAGGUUAAGCACUUAAGGUGUGGAGCCGUAGCGAAAGCGAGUUUUAACUGAGCGUUCAGUUACUUGACGUAGACCCGAAACCGGGCGACCUACCCAUGAGCAGGAUGAAGCGAAAGUAAAAUUUCGUGGAGGUCCGAACCCACGGGCGUUGAAAAGCUCGGGGAUGACUUGUGGGUAGCGGUGAAAUUCCAAUCGAGCCCGGAGAUAGCUGGUUCUCCCCGAAAUAGCUUUAGGGCUAGCCUCAAGGUGAGAGAUACGGAGGUAGAGCACUG